AUCCCUAUAGCGCAAUGAAUCACGCGUUGGACUUCUCAUCCAAAAGUUGUGGGUUUGAAUCCCACCUGGAAUG